AUUUAUAUAGUUUAUAUAAAACAAUACAUUUUCAUUGUAUAAAUAAAGUAAUUUCUUUUAUAAAUA
rnacentral:tRNA from 1 species